GAAUUUUUGUCAAUGCUCGAAAGAGUGAACUAGCUAACUGAAAUCCAUAAUAAUAAUUGAUAACAUAAGGGAAAAUAAUGAUAUUACCUUAUUAUUAGUGUCGUCCAAAACUGGUGCCAGAAGACUCGGUAAGGCCAGAGACACAAACGUUAAUCGUCUUAAUCAGGCGUAAAGGGUUUGUAGGCGGCUUAAAAUUUUACUUGUAUAAUAAUAAAUAAAAAAAAAAAAUAAGUAAAGAAUAAAAGCUAGAAUCAAAUAGAGGAUAUAUGAAAGAAUGCUUAGAGUAGGUCUGAUAUCCUUAGAUACUAAGUAGAAUAUUAAAGGCGAAAGCUUUUUUCCAUUAAUGAUUGACGCUCAGAAACGAAGGUGAGGAUAGGAAAUAGGAUUAGAUACCCAAAAUACCCCUCUCUGUCAACGAUGAAUGGUAGUUUAUUAGUAAAAAUUAUUAAUGACAAUGUUAACACGAUAACCAUUCCGCCUUGUGAGUACAACUGCAAAGUUGAAAACAAAAAAAUUAGUCGGUUUCGGAGCAAACGAAGUGAAGCAUGUUAUUUAAUUC
rnacentral:rRNA from 1 species